rnacentral:rRNA from 1 species
GAUGAACGCUGGCGGCGUGCCUAAUACAUGCAAGUCGAGCGAAUGGAUUAAGAGCUUGCUCUUAUGAAGUUAGCGGCGGACGGGUGAGUAACACGUGGGUAACCUGCCCAUAAGACUGGGAUAACUCCGGGAAACCGGGGCUAAUACCGGAUAACAUUUUGAACCGCAUGGUUCGAAAUUGAAAGGCGGCUUCGGCUGUCACUUAUGGAUGGACCCGCGUCGCAUUAGCUAGUUGGUGAGGUAACGGCUCACCAAGGCAACGAUGCGUAGCCGACCUGGGAGGGUGAUCGGCCACACUGGGACAGAGACACGGCCAAGACUCCUACGGGAGGCAGCAGUAGUGAAUCUUCCGCAAUGGACGAAAGUCUGACGGAGCAACGCCGCGUGAGUGAUGAAGGCUUUCGGGUCGUAAAACUCUGUUGUUAGGGAAGAACAAGUGCUAGUUGAAUAAGCUGGCACCUUGACGGUACCUAACCAGAGAGCCACGGCUAACUACGUGCCAGCCGCCGCCGUAA